rnacentral:rRNA from 1 species
GAUGAACGCUGGCGGCGUGCCUAAUACAUGCAAGUCGAGCGAACGGACGAGAAGCUUGCUUCUCUGAUGUUAGCGGCGGACGGGUGAGUAACACGUGGAUAACCUACCUAUAAGACUGGGAUAACUUCGGGAAACCGUAGCUAAUACCGGAUAAUAUUUUGAACCGCAUGGUUCAAAAGUGAAAGACGGUCUUGCUGUCACUUAUAGAUGGAUCCGCGCUGCAUUAGCUAGUUGGUAAGGUAACGGCUUACCAAGGCAACGAUGCAUAGCCGACCUGAGAGGGUGAUCGGCCACCCUGGAACUGAGACACGGUCCAGACUCCUACGGGAGGCAGCAGUAGGGAAUCGUCCGCAAUGGGCGAAAGCCUGACGGAGCAACGCCGCGUGAGUGAUGAAGGUCUUCGGAUCGUAAAACUCUGUUAUUAGGGAAGAACAUAUGUGUAAGUAACUGUGCACAUCUUGACGGUACCUAAUCAGAAAGCCACGGCUAACUACGUG